rfam:Ipomoea nil DNA, scaffold: scaffold0805, cultivar: Tokyo-kokei standard.
GUGGAUGUGCCGGAGUGGUUAUCGGGCAUGACUAGAAAUCAUGUGGACUUUGUCCGCGCAGGUUCAAAUCCUGCCAUCCACG